ACGGAGGGUGCGAGCGUUAAUCGGAAUUACUGGGCGUAAAGGGCGCGUAGGCGGCCGAUCAAGUCAGAUGUGAAAGCCCACGGCUUAACCGUGUGAAGUGCAUCUGAAACUGGUCGGCUUGAGUAUCGGAGAGGAAAGUGGAAUUCCCGGUGUAGAGGUGAAAUUCGUAGAUAUCGGGAGGAAUACCGGUGGCGAAGGCGACUUUCUGGACGAAUACUGACGCUGAGGCGCGAAAGCGUGGGGAGCAAACAGGAUUAGAUACCCUGGUAGUCCACAGCUGUAAACGAUGUGCACUAGAUGUGGGGAAGUGUUGACCUUUCCUGUGUCGCAGCUAACGCAUUAAGUGCACCGCCUGGGGAGUACGGCCGCAAGGUUA
rnacentral:rRNA from 1 species